AGGGCGCACGGUGGAUGCCUUGACACUAGGAGUCGAUGAAGGACGGGACUAACGCCGAUAUGCUUCGGGGAGCUGUAAGUAAGCUUUGAUCCGAAGAUUUCCGAAUGGGGAAACCCACCAUACGUAAUGGUAUGGUAUCCUUAUCUGAAUACAUAGGGUAAGGAAGACAGACCCAGGGAACUGAAACAUCUAAGUACCUGGAGGAAGAGAAAGCAAAUGCGAUUUCCUGAGUAGCGGCGAGCGAAACGGAACAUAGCCCAAACCAAGAGGCUUGCCUCUUGGGGUUGUAGGACAUUCUAUACGGAGUUACAAAGGAACGAGGUAGACGAAGCGACCUGGAAAGGUCCGUCGUAGAGGGUAACAACCCCGUAGUCGAAACUUCGUUCUCUCUUGAAUGUAUCCUGAGUACGGCGGAACACGUGAAAUUCCGUCGGAAUCUGGGAGGACCAUCUCCCAAGGCUAAAUACUCCCUAGUGAUCGAUAGUGAACCAGUACCGUGAGGGAAAGGUGAAAAGCACCCCGGAAGGGGAGUGAAAGAGAUCCUGAAACCGUGUGCCUACAAAUAGUCAGAGCCCGUUAACGGGUGAUGGCGUGCCUUUUGUAGAAUGAACCGGCGAGUUACGAUCCCGUGCGAGGUUAAGCUGAAGAGGCGGAGCCGCAGCGAAAGCGAGUCUGAAUAGGGCGUUUAGUACGUGGUCGUAGACCCGAAACCAGGUGAUCUACCCAUGUCCAGGGUGAAGUUCAGGUAACACUGAAUGGAGGCCCGAACCCACGCACGUUGAAAAGUGCGGGGAUGAGGUGUGGGUAGCGGAGAAAUUCCAAUCGAACCUGGAGAUAGCUGGUUCUCCCCGAAAUAGCUUUAGGGCUAGCCUUAAGUGUAAGAGUCUUGGAGGUAGAGCACUGAUUGGACUAGGGGUCCUCAUCGGAUUACCGAAUUCAGUCAAACUCCGAAUGCCAAUGACUUAUCCUUAGGAGUCAGACUGCGAGUGAUAAGAUCCGUAGUCAAAAGGGAAACAGCCCAGACCGCCAGCUAAGGUCCCAAAGUGUGUAUUAAGUGGAAAAGGAUGUGGAGUUGCUUAGACAACUAGGAUGUUGGCUUAGAAGCAGCCACCAUUUAAAGAGUGCGUAAUAGCUCACUAGUCGAGUGACUCUGCGCCGAAAAUGUACCGGGGCUAAAUACACCACCGAAGCUGCGGAUUGAUACCAAUGGUAUCAGUGGUAGGGGAGCGUUCUAAGGACAGUGAAGUCAGACCGGAAGGACUGGUGGAGUGCUUAGAAGUGAGAAUGCCGGUAUGAGUAGCGAAAGACGGGUGAGAAUCCCGUCCACCGAAUGCCUAAGGUUUCCUGAGGAAGGCUCGUCCGCUCAGGGUUAGUCAGGACCUAAGCCGAGGCCGACAGGCGUAGGCGAUGGACAACAGGUUGAUAUUCCUGUACCACCUCUUUAUCGUUUGAGCAAUGGAGGGACGCAGAAGGAUAGAAGAAGCGUGCGAUUGGUUGUGCACGUCCAAGCAGUUAGGCUGAUAAGUAGGCAAAUCCGCUUAUCGUAAAGGCUGAGCUGUGAUGGGGAAGCUCCUUAUGGAGCGAAGUCUUUGAUUCCCCGCUGCCAAGAAAAGCUUCUAGCGAGAUAAAAGGUGCCUGUACCGCAAACCGACACAGGUAGGCGAGGAGAGAAUCCUAAGGUGUGCGAGAGAACUCUGGUUAAGGAACUCGGCAAAAUGACCCCGUAACUUCGGGAGAAGGGGUGCUUUCUUAACGGAAAGCCGCAGUGAAUAGGCCCAAGCGACUGUUUAGCAAAAACACAGCUCUCUGCGAAGCCGUAAGGCGAAGUAUAGGGGGUGACACCUGCCCGGUGCUGGAAGGUUAAGGAGAGGGGUUAGCGUAAGCGAAGCUCUGAACUGAAGCCCCAGUAAACGGCGGCCGUAACUAUAACGGUCCUAAGGUAGCGAAAUUCCUUGUCGGGUAAGUUCCGACCCGCACGAAAGGUGUAACGAUUUGGGCACUGUCUCAACCAGAGACUCGGUGAAAUUAUAGUACCUGUGAAGAUGCAGGUUACCCGCGACAGGACGGAAAGACCCCGUGGAGCUUUACUGUAGCCUGAUAUUGAAUUUUGGUACAGUUUGUACAGGAUAGGCGGGAGCCUUUGAAACCGGAGCGCUAGCUUCGGUGGAGGCGCUGGUGGGAUACCGCCCUGACUGUAUUGAAAUUCUAACCUACGGGUCUUAUCGACCCGGGAGACAGUGUCAGGUGGGCAGUUUGACUGGGGCGGUCGCCUCCUAAAGUGUAACGGAGGCGCCCAAAGGUUCCCUCAGAAUGGUUGGAAAUCAUUCGUAGAGUGCAAAGGCAUAAGGGAGCUUGACUGCGAGACCUACAAGUCGAGCAGGGACGAAAGUCGGGCUUAGUGAUCCGGUGGUUCCGCAUGGAAGGGCCAUCGCUCAACGGAUAAAAGCUACCCCGGGGAUAACAGGCUUAUCUCCCCCAAGAGUCCACAUCGACGGGGAGGUUUGGCACCUCGAUGUCGGCUCAUCGCAUCCUGGGGCUGUAGUCGGUCCCAAGGGUUGGGCUGUUCGCCCAUUAAAGCGGUACGCGAGCUGGGUUCAGAACGUCGUGAGACAGUUCGGUCCCUAUCCGUCGUGGGCGUAGGAAAUUUGAGAGGAGCUGUCCUUAGUACGAGAGGACCGGGAUGGACGCACCGCUGGUGUACCAGUUGUUCUGCCAAGGGCAUAGCUGGGUAGCUAUGUGCGGAAGGGAUAAGUGCUGAAAGCAUCUAAGCAUGAAGCCCCCCUCAAGAUGAGAUUUCCCAUAGCGUAAGCUAGUAAGAUCCCUGAAAGAUGAUCAGGUUGAUAGGUUCGAGGUGGAAGCAUGGUGACAUGUGGAGCUGACGAAUACUAAUAGAUCGAGGACUUAACC
rnacentral:rRNA from 1 species